rnacentral:rRNA from 1 species
GUGCCAGCCGCCGCGGUAAUACGGAGGAGGCAAGCGUUAUCCGGAAUUAUUGGGCGUAAAGCGUCCGCAGGUGGCGAUUCAAGUCUGCGGUCAAAGACUGGGGCUUAACCCUGGAAAGGCCGUGGAAACUGAAUAGCUAGAGUGCAGUAGGGGUAGAGGGAAUUCCCGGUGUAGCGGUGAAAUGCGUAGAGCUCGGGAAGAACAUCGGUGGCGAAAGCGCUCUGCUGGACUGCAACUGACACUCAGGGACGAAAGCUAGGGGAGCGAAUGGGAUUAGAAACCCUUGUAGUCC